AACGAACGCUGGCGGCAGGCCUAACACAUGCAAGUCGAACGCUCCGCAAGGAGAGUGGCAGACGGGUGAGUAACACGUGGGAAUCUUCCUAUCGGUGCGGAAUAGCUCAGGGAAACUUGAGGUAAUACCGCAUACGCCCUCAGGGGGAAAGAUUUAUCGCCGAUAGAUGAGCCCGCGUCUGAUUAGCUAGUUGGUGGGGUAAUGGCCCACCAAGGCGACGAUCAGUAGCUGGUCUGAGAGGAUGACCAGCCACACUGGGACUGAGACACGGCCCAGACUCCUACGGGAGGCAGCAGUGGGGAAUAUUGGACAAUGGGCGCAAGCCUGAUCCAGCCAUGCCGCGUGAGUGACGAAGGUCUUCGGAUUGUAAAGCUCUUUUACCAGGGACGAUAAUGACGGUACCUGGAGAAUAAGCCCCGGCUAACUUCGUGCCAGCAGCCGCCGUAAAAC
rnacentral:rRNA from 1 species